UUCAUGCAGUAUUUAAGGUGGAGCAGAGGCUGGACCUUCAUGCAGUAUUUAAGGUGGAGCAGAGGCCGGACCUUCAUGCAGUAUUUAAGGUGGAGCAGAGACCGGACCUUCAUGCAGUAUUUAAGGUGGAGCAGAGGCCGGACCUUCAUGCAGUAUUUAAGGUGGAGCAGAGACCGGACCUUCAUGCAGUAUUUAAGGUGGAGCAGAGGCCGGACCUUCAUGCAGUAUUUAAGGUGGAGCAGAGGCUGGACCUUCAUGCAGUAUUUAAGGUGGAGCAGAGACCGGGCCUUCAUGCAGUAUUUAAGGUGGAGCAGAGACCGGACCUUCAUGCAGUAUUUAAGGUGG